rnacentral:rRNA from 1 species
UACGAAGGGUGCAAGCGUUACUCGGAAUUACUGGGCGUAAAGCGUGCGUAGGUGGUUUGUUAAGUCUGUUGUGAAAGCCCCGGGCUCAACCUGGGAAUGGCAAUGGAUACUGGCAAGCUAGAGUGCGGUAGAGGGUAGUGGAAUUCCCGGUGUAGCGGUGAAAUGCGUAGAGAUCGGGAGGAACACCAGUGGCGAAGGCGGCUACCUGGACCAGCACUGACACUGAUGAACGAAAGCCAGGGGAGCAAACGGG